ACUCAAAUGAAUUGACGGGGGCCCGCACAAGCGGUGGAUUAUGUGGUUUAAUUCGAAGCAACGCGCAAAACCUUACCUAGGCUUGAAAUCCGGUGAAUUUGGGGUAAUGCCCGAAGUGCCCGCAAGGGAAUACCGAGACAGGUGCUGCAUGGCUGUCGUCAGCUCGUGUUGUGAAAUGUUGGGUUAAGUCUCGCAACGAGCGCAACCCCUAUUAUUAGUUGCCAGCAUUAAGUUGGGCACUCUAAUGAGACUGCCUGGGUUAACCAGGAGGAAGGUGGGGAUGACGUCAAGUCCUCAUGGCCCUUAUGCCUAGGGCUACACACGUAAUACAAUGGCGCAUACAGAGGGACGCGACCCAGCGAUGGUGAGCAAAUCUCAAAAAGUGCGUCUCAGUCCGGAUUGUAGUCUGCAACUCGACUACAUGAAGUUGGAAUCGCUAGUAAUCGCAGAUCAGCAUGCUGCGGUGAAUACGUUCCCGGGCCUUGCACACACCGCCCGU
rnacentral:rRNA from 1 species